CAGUCGCCGCGGGAAUACGGAAGGGGCUAGCGUUGUUCGGAAUUACUGGGCGUAAAGCGCACGUAGGCGGCUUGGUAAGUUAGAGGUGAAAGCCCAGGGCUCAACCCUGGAAUUGCCUUUAAGACUGCCGAGCUAGCAGGUGAGAGAGGUAAGUGGAAUUCCGAGUGUAGAGGUGAAAUUCGUAGAUAUUCGGAAGAACACCAGUGGCGAAGGCGGCUUACUGGCUCAUACUGGACGCUGAGGUGCGAAAGCGUGGGGAGUAAACAGGAUUAGAUACCCCCGUAGUCCCUGUCUCUUAUAC
rnacentral:rRNA from 1 species